UACGUAGGGUGCGAGCGUUAAUCGGAAUUACUGGGCGUAAAGCGUGCGCAGGCGGUUUGUUAAGUCCGCUGUGAAAGCCCCGGGCUCAACCUGGGAAUGGCGGUGGAAACUGGCGAGCUAGAGUGUGGCAGAGGGGGGUGGAAUUCCACGUGUAGCAGUGAAAUGCGUAGAGAUGUGGAGGAACACCAAUGGCGAAGGCAGCCCCCUGGGAUAACACUGACGCUCAGGCACGAAAGCGUGGGGAGCAAACAGG
rnacentral:rRNA from 1 species